AGCCCAGCACUCGAUAGCAGCCAACUUACGGGAACGGUCUGGAAAGUCCGGCCAUAGAGGGUGAUAGCCCCUUACUGGAAAAGGCAGCUGCGGUACUAAGUGUGCGAUAAGUAGAGCGGGACACGUGACAUCCUGCUCGAAGACGGGGGGACCAUCCUCCAAGGCUAAAUACUCGUGAUCGACCGAUAGCGUACCAGUACUGUGAAGGAAAGGUUAAAAGAACCCCGGGAGGGGAGUGAAAUAGAUCCUGAAACCGCAUACAUACAAACAGUAGGAGCCUCUUUAUGGGGUGACUGCGUACCUUUUGCAUAAUGGGUCAGCGACUUACGUUUAAUGGCAAGCUUAACCGCAUAGGGGAGGCGCAGCGAAAGCGAGUUCGAAUAGAGCGUUCAGUCGUUAGGCGUAGACCCGAAACCAGAUGAUCUAUCCAUGGCCAGGUUGAAGGUGUGGUAACACACACUGGAGGACCGAACCGACUAGUGUUGCAAAAUUAGCGGAUGAGCUGUGGAUAGGGGUGAAAGGCUAAACAAAUCUGGAGAUAGCUGGUUCUCCCCGAAAACUAUUGAGGUAGUGCCUCGUGUAUGACUCCAGGGGGUAGAGCACUGUUAUGGCUAGGGGGACAUGGCGUCUUACCAAACCAUGGCAAACUCCGAAUACUUGGAAGUUUGAGCACGGGAGACAGAGCACCGGGUGCUAACGUCCGGACUCAAGAGGGAAACAACCCAGACCGCCGGCUAAGGUCCCUAAUAUUGACUAAGUGGAAAACGAAGUGGAAAGGCUAAGACAGUCAGGAAGUUGGCUUAGAAGCAGCCAUCCUUCAAAGAAAGCGUAAUAGCUCACUGAUCGAGUCUUUCUGCGCGGAAGAUGUAACGGGGCUAAGUCAAUAACCGAAGCCGCGGAUUCACACUUAUGUGUGAGUGGUAGGGGAGCGUUCUGUAAGCCUGCGAAGGUGACUCGUAAGGGUUGCUGGAGGUAUCAGAAGUGCGAAUGCUGACAUGAGUAACGUUAAAGCGGGUGAAAAGCCCGCUCGCCGUAAGCCCAAGGUUUCCUGCUCUACGUUCAUCGGAGCAGGGUGAGUCGGCCCCUAAGGUGAGGCUGAGAAGCGUAACUGAUGGGAACAAGGUUAAUAUUCCUUGACCACCGCUGAAUGCGAAGGGGGGACGGAGUAUUGAAGAUCAUCCGGGUGUUGGAUAUCCCGGUUUGCGAGCGUAGGAGGUUGACAGGCAAAUCCGUCAACGGAUCUCCGAGGCGAAGCAUCGAGCUCUCUUUUGAGCGAAGUGAUUGGAUGUGCUUCCAGGAAAAGCCUCUAAGCUCCAGUUCAGCGGGACCGUACCGCAAACCGACACUGGUGGGCGAGCUGAAUAUGCUCAGGCGCUUGAGAGAAUCACGGAGAAGGAACUCGGCAAAUUGACACCGUAACUUCGGGAUAAGGUGUGCCUUUGUAGCGUGGAGGGAGAAACACCCCGAGCGCGAAGAGGUCUCAGAUAAUCGGUGGCUGCGACUGUUUAUUAAAAACACAGCACUCUGCAAAGACGAAAGUCGACGUAUAGGGUGUGAUGCCUGCCCGGUGCUGGAAGAUUAAUUGAUGGGGUGCAAGCUCCUGAUCGAAGUCCCAGUAAACGGCGGCCGUAACUAUAACGGUCCUAAGGUAGCGAAAUUCCUUGUCGGGUAAGUUCCGACCUGCACGAAUGGCAUAACGAUGGCCACACUGUCUCCUCCUGAGACUCAGUGAAGUUGAAGUGUUUGUGAUGAUGCAAUCUCCCCGCGGCUAGACGGAAAGACCCCAUGAACCUUUACUGUAGCUUUGCAUUGGACUUUGAACCGAUCUGUGUAGGAUAGGCGGGAGCCUGUGAAACCACAACGCCAGUUGUGGCGGAGGCGUCCUUGAAAUACCGCCCUGAUUUGUUUGAGGUUCUAACCUGGGACAGUUAUCCUGUCCGGGGACCGUGCAUGGUAGGCAGUUUGACUGGGGCGGUCUCCUCCUAAAGGGUAACGGAGGAGUGCGAAGGUACGCUAGGUACGGUCGGAAAUCGUGCUGAUAGUGCAAUGGCAAAAGCGUGCUUGACUGCGAGACCCACAAGUCGAGCAGAUACGAAAGUAGGUCAUAGUGAUCCGGUGGCUCUGU
rnacentral:rRNA from 1 species